GCAGGGAGUGCGCAUGCGGCCGAGUGCGGGACUGGGGCUCCUGGCUGUGGGUGUGGUACCGAGGCUUCAGCGGGUGCCGCCCGCCUAGAGGGAGUGGAGCGAGAGCCUACGACUAGAUUUGCAUCUUUACGUCCUGCGCGGAGGCUGCUACACACAUGCAGAAGUCAUGCUGGUGGCCUGGACAGUGAAGGGAGAGAAGUGGAUUUGGGAGACAUUUAGGAGGACCCACCCGAGGGUGGGUCACCAUGGCUUUGGAGCACCUGGUAGUGUGGCGUGUCCACAGUGAAGACCAGAGUUUCAUUGUCCUUAAGACUGACCUGGGAGACGUGGCUGCAGGCCAUUGAGGAAGAUGGCACCAAAAGCGAAGGAAGCUCCUGCUCAUCCUAAAGCCGAAGCCAAAGCGAAGGCUUUAAAGGCCAAGAAGGCAGUGUUGAAAGGUGUCCGCAGCCACACGCAAAAAAGAAGAUCCGCAUGUCACUCACCUUCAGGCGGCCCAAGACACUGCGACUCCGGAGGCAGCCCAGAUAUCCUCGGAAGAGCACCCCCAGGAGAAACAAGCUUGGCCACUAUGCUAUCAUCAAGUUUCCGCUGGCCACUGAGUCGGCCGUGAAGAAGAUAGAAGAAAACAACACGCUUGUGUUCACUGUGGAUGUUAAAGCCAACAAGCACCAGAUCAGACAGGCUGUGAAGAAGCUCUAUGACAGUGAUGUGGCCAAGGUCACCACCCUGAUUUGUCCUGAUAAGGAGAACAAGGCAUAUGUUCGACUUGCUCCUGAUUAUGAUGCUUUCGAUGUUGUAACAAAAUUGGGAUCACCUAAACUGAGUCCAGCUGGCUAACUCUAAAUAUAUGUGUAUCUUUUCAGCAUAAAAAAAUAAUGUUUUUCAUAAGAAUGACAACUUAAUUAGAAUCAAAUCUAUAAGCUUUAAGAUUUUACGUUUCUAGUAAGUAUAAUAUUAGCUUAUUUGACUAGAACUCAAGCAGAAUAGGAAUUUAUGCUUGUUUUAUAUUCAAUAAUGAUAAUUUUGAAGAUAUAGUUGUUUUAUUACACCAAAAAUACUAUAUUAAUCUUAUUUAACUAAGUUUUAUCCAAAUCAUGUUAACUUAAGAAACAUUUGAUCAGUUCCUAUA
ensembl:lncRNA RPL23AP7 ribosomal protein L23a pseudogene 7